GAGUGAAGCUGCUGUGUGGUUAUCUGGAGAGUCCAAACUGCAGACUGGAGACUCUGGGAUUGAGGGGCUGCAGUUUGUCAGAGAUCAGCUGUGCUUCUCUGGCCUCAGCCCUGAAGUCCAACCCCUCCACUCUGAGAGAGCUGAGGCUGAGUGACAACAAGGUUCAGGAUUCAGGAGUGAAGCUGCUGUGUGAUUUUCUGGAGAGUCCACACUGCAGACUGGAGACUCUGAGAUUAUGGGACUGCAGUUUGUCGGAGAUCAGCUGUGCUUUUCUGGCCUCAGCUCUGAAGUCCAACCCCUCCCAUCUGACAGAGCUGGAGCUGAGUGACAACAAGGUUCAGGAUUCAGGAGUGAAGCUGCUGUGUGAUUUUCUGGA